CCUACGGGAGGCUGCAGUGGGGAAUAUUGGGCAAUGGGCGCAAGCCUGACCCAGCAACGCCGCGUGAAGGAAGAAGGCUUUCGGGUUGUAAACUUCUUUUCUCAGGGACGAAGCAAGUGACGGUACCUGAGGAAUAAGCCACGGCUAACUACGUGCCAGCAGCCGCGGUAAUACGUAGGUGGCAAGCGUUAUGCGGAUUUACUGGGUGUAAAGGGCGUGUAGGCGGGAAAGGAAGUCAGAUGUGAAAACCAUGGGCUCAACCUGUGGCCUGCAUUUGAAACUGUUUUUCUUGAGUGCUGGAGAGGCAGACGGAAUUCCUGGUGUAGCGGUGAAAUGCGUAGAUAUUAGGAGGAACACCAGUGGCGAAGGCGGUCUACUGGACAGCAACUGACGCUGAGGCGCGAAAGCGUGGGGAGCAAACAGGAUUAGAUACCCGUGUAGUC
rnacentral:rRNA from 1 species